UACGAGGGGAGCAAGCGUUGUUCGGAUUUACUGGGCGUAAAGGGCGCGUAGGCGGCUCUACAAGUCACUUGUGAAAUCUCCGGGCUUAACUCGGAACGGUCAAGUGAUACUGUCGAGCUAGAGUACAGAAGGGGCAACUGGAAUUCUCGGUGUAGCGGUGAAAUGCGUAGAUAUCGAGAGGAACACCUGCGGCGAAGGCGGGUUGCUGGGCUGAUACUGACGCUGAGGCGCGAAAGCCAGGGGAGCGAACGGG
rnacentral:rRNA from 1 species